AGCAGUAGCCGCGGUAAUACAGAGGGUGCAAGCGUUAAUCGGAAUUACUGGGCGUAAAGCGCGCGUAGGUGGUUUGUUAAGUUGGAUGUGAAAUCCCCGGGCUCAACCUGGGAACUGCAUCCAAAACUGGCAGGCUAGAGCAGGGCAGAGGGUGGUGGAAUUUCCCGUGUAGCGGUGAAAUGCGUAGAUAUAGGAAGGAACACCAGUGGCGAAGGCGACCACCUGGGCUCAUACUGACACUGAGGUGCGAAAGCGUGGGGAGCAAACAGGAUUAGAUACCCCUGUAGUCCCUGUCUCUUAUAC
rnacentral:rRNA from 1 species